UUGGAUCCUUUGACAGAUAUUUUGAAUAAAAUGGUUUCAGUUGUAUUGAAAAGCAAAGGCUGUUUAAUGGCCUAUUCAUUUCAUUGUGACAACUAUUGCUCAGUACAGGACCGGGCGCAUACAGCAGGUUGAGGAGGAGGACGGGCACCAGGGUUGUGAUGGGAAUCCUGUA